rnacentral:rRNA from 1 species
UACGUAGGGCGCAAGCGUUGUCCGGAAUUAUUGGGCGUAAAGAGCUCGUAGGCGGCUUGUCACGUCGGGUGUGAAAGACCGGGGCUUAACCCCGGUUCUGCAUUCGAUACGGGCUAGCUAGAGUGUGGUAGGGGAGAUCGGAAUUCCUGGUGUAGCGGUGAAAUGCGCAGAUAUCAGGAGGAACACCGGUGGCGAAGGCGGAUCUCUGGGCCGUAACUGACGCUGAGGAGCGAAAGCAUGGGGAGCGAACAGG